rnacentral:lncRNA from 1 species
GCAUCUUUUAUUUCCAUGCCUUCCGUGAGUGCUUAAUAAAUGCACAAGUGAUUGAAUGAGUGUGUGCGUGCAUGAAUGAAUGCCCAUUACAGAAAGUAAACUGUUAACCUCUCACGAAGUGAAAUGGGCUUAAAGCACGAGAUACUUGAGGUAGACGCGGGGCCAGUCUUGCAGCCCCCAGAUUGGCCAGCCCAAUUCCCUGCCUGGCCUCGUCCACCCUGGGGCUGCAUCGUGAGGCGUGUCGGGGGGGGGGGGGGAGCCAGCUUCGUGCCUGCGAGGACAGCAAUGUGACACAGUUUAAUUAGCACAAGAGUAAAUUACAUCAGACGUAGCGAGCCCCGACUUCUCCCGACGGCGUGGGGAAAAUGGAAGCCUAGCAUUUUCAAUUUAAGGUUUAGUUAGAUAAUACCUAUUGGUGCCAGUAGAUUACAGAGUGGAUAUUAAAUCCUGCAGGAUUUGGAAUCGGAGCGUACAAAUGGAAUCCAUAAGUAGGGGGAAGCAGCCGGAAGGAGCUGGCCCUGUGUCCUCGGCUAACAAGAAAGCGUCUCUGCAGCCAGCUCAGACCCGGGUCCUUAAGCUCCCACCAAAGACUCCAGGCCGGGAACUGCUCCUUAGCCUCCAAGACCUGUCCACAUGGCCACACUCUUCUAGAACAAAACGGAAUAACCCCUGACGUCAUGGAGUCCCUACUGCAGCGGGUCCUGGAGAUCCAGGCCCAGGGCAGAGCUUAGAUGCCUCGGAGGCUCCCAGACCCUCCCUUCUGAGCAGGGAAGGCUUCUGUUGGGGAGGGACCCAGGCCCUGACAGGGCGUGGAGGUAAGGAGGGGAAGCUGGGCUGGGUAAGGGGAGCCUCGGGGAUUUGCGAAUCUGAUCCACCCAGUUCUCAAGCCAGUCCUGGUCACGGAGCCCCCUCUGGGACGGAGCUCGAUUCCCAGUCCUCCCAACUAUCCUCGCUGUGAUCCUUAGCUCACAAACUAUCACAGCUGGGAAGGGACCUCAGGAAUGAUCCAGUGAAAACACCACCUCCUUCUGUAGAUGGGGAAGGCCAGGCCCAGAGAGGGCAUGCAUCUGUCCCAGAUCACACAGCCAGAAGCGACUGAGCCAGGAAGAGAACUCCCAGCGACCUAGCCAGGGCUCUCUGCUCAGCCCCAGCUCUGCCUCCCCCCUCCCGCAGCCCAGAGCCCUAUGGCCCUUCCCCCACGUGCCUGUAGGCUACCCACAGCAGGCCUAGAAUUGCCUAAAGCCCACAGCCUUCGGGGACCAGACACAGGGGAGCAGGGACAGGGACUUGGCUGGGGCUGAGAGGAAAAAGAGUGGAAGCAGCAUUGAUCCUCUCCUUUCUCUCCCUUUCUGGGAGAGACACCUCCCUUCCUCUGCACUCCCGUCCCUGAGCCCCUGUCU